GAGGACUUAUGAUCGCUGCUGUCAGCCUGGGCUUCUUUGGUUCCAUAUUUGCGCUCUUUGGAAUGAAGUGUACCAAAGUCGGAGGCUCCGAUAAAGCCAAAGCUAAAAUUGCUUGUUUGGCUGGGAUUGUAUUCAUACUGUCAGGGCUGUGCUCAAUGACUGGAUGUUCCCUAUAUGCAAACAAAAUCACAACGGAAUUCUUUGAUCCUCUCUUUGUUGAGCAAAAGUAAGUACUCUUCUCAGUCUGUUUCCAGCUCACAGGAAGUGUAUAUAAAUUAAUAUUCUCAACCAAGAGACAUGAAUUUCCUAUAUGACUUUUGAAAGUAAGACAUACUGAUAAAUGGUAACUGAUGACAUCAUUCAAGAUUAAAUGUGUCAUAUGCCACAUACGCAAAAUAUGCAUUUAAUUAGUUUGCUAGUGUUGCAGUGUCUUGUCUCGAAACAGUUCAAGGCAUCAAAUUUAGAACUAUAAACUUCAUCGUUUGCUGUACAUCAUGAAACUGAGGUCAAGUAGAGGAAACGUGAAAGGUGUCAGACGGAGAGGAAAGAAUGAUGCGGUGUGCGAAUAGAAAAUUAAAACCUUGCCUUGAUUGUUGCCCACUCAAAAUGAUAUUUGCCAGAUGCUAGUUUCUGGGUCUUUUAAAUUUGCUGUAUUAACUACUGUCUUAACAAGCUCCUCCUAAUAAACCUUUAUAAAGAAA
rnacentral:lncRNA from 1 species